rnacentral:rRNA from 1 species
AACCUGCCUGGUAGCGGGGGAUAACUAUUGGAAACGAUAGCUAAUACCGCAUAACAGUAGAUAUUGCAUGAUAUCUGCUUGAAAGGUGCAAAUGCAUCACUACCAGAUGGACCUGCGUUGUAUUAGCUAGUUGGGGGGGUAACGGGCUCACCAAGGCGACGAUACAUAGCCGACCUGAGAGGGUGAUCGGCCACACUGGGACUGAGACACGGCCCAG